rnacentral:rRNA from 1 species
ACACGGAGGGCGCGAGCGUUGUCCGGAAUUACUGGGCGUAAAGAGUGCGUAGGUGGUUCAGUUAGUCGUUGGUGAAAUCUCGGGGCUUAACCCCGAGGCUGCCGACGAUACUGCUGAACUAGAGGCCGGUAAAGGCAGAUGGAAUUCCGGUGUAGCGGUGGAAUGCGUAGAUAUCGGGAAGAACACCAGAGGCGAAGGCGGUCUGCUGGGCCGGUUCUGACACUGAGGCACGACAGCGUGGGGAGCAAACAGGAUUAGAUACCCCGGUAGUCC